rnacentral:rRNA from 1 species
AGGAUGAACGCUAGCGGCAGGCCUAACACAUGCAAGUCGAGGGGUAACGAUGGCUUCGGCCAGGCGACGACCGGCGCACGGGUGAGUAACGCGUUUGUAACCUACCUCUGUCUGGAGAAUAGCCCGAAGAAAUUCGGAUUAAUGCUCCGUAACACCAUGAUGAGGCAUCUCGUCAUGGUCAAAGCUCCGGCGGUCAGAGAUGGACAUGCGUAGCAUUAGCUUGUUGGUGAGGUUACGGCUCACCAAGGCUACGAUGUUUAGGGGGUCUGAGAGGAUGGUCCCCCACACUGGUACUGAGACACGGACCAGACUUCUACGGAAGGCAGCAGUGAGGAAUAUUGGUCAAUGGGCGAAAGCCUGAACCAGCCAUGCCGCGUGAAGGAGGACAGCCCUACGGGUUGUAAACUUCUUUUGUACGGGAAGAAACACUUCUACGUGUAGGAGCUUGACGGUACCGUACGAAUAAGCAUCGGCUAACUCCGUGCCAGCAGCCGCGGUAAUACGGAGGAUGCAAGCGUUAUCCGGAUUCAUUGGGUUUAAAGGGUACGUAGGCGGAAGAUUAAGUCAGUGGUGAAAUCCUGCAGCUUAACUGUAGAACUGUCAUUGAUACUGAUCUUCUUGAAUAUAGUUGAGGUAGGCGGAAUGUGUAAUGUAGCGGUGAAAUGCUUAGAUAUUACACAGAACACCGAUUGCGAAGGCAGCUUACUAAACUAUGAUUGACGCUGAGGUACGAAAGCGUGGGGAGCGAACAGGAUUAGAUACCCUGGUAGUCCACGCUGUAAACGAUGAUCACUCGUUGUUGGCGAUAUAGUGUCAGCGACUGAGCGAAAGCAUUAAGUGAUCCACCUGGGGAGUACGAUC